GGGUCAAUGAUGUACUUGCGUACUAAAAUUGGACCGAUACAGACAAGAUUAGCAUCGCCCCUAUGCAAGGAUGACACCCAAAAUCUUGACGUGUUUCACAGUAGC